rnacentral:misc_RNA from 1 species
GAAAUGCGAUAAGUAAUGUGAAUUGCAGAAUUCAGUGAAUCAUCGAAUCUUUGAACGCAUCUUGCGCUCCUUGGUAUUCCUUGGAGCAUGCCUGUUUGAGUAUCAUGAAAUCUUCAAAGUAAAUCUUUUGUUAACUCAAUUGGUUUCUACUUUGGUAUUGGAGGUCUUUGCAGCUUCACACCUGCUCCUCUUUGUUCAUUAGCUGGAUCUCAGUGUUAUGCUUGGUUCCACUCGGCGUGAUAAGUUAUCUAUCGCUGAGGACACUGUAAAAGGUGGCCAAGGUAAAUGCAGAUGAACCGCUUCUGAUAGUCCAUUGACUUGGACAAUACUUUUAUGAUCUGAUCUCAAAUCAGGUAGGACUACCCGCUGAACUUAAGC